GACGAACGCUGGCGGCGUGCUUAACACAUGCAAGUCGAACGGAAAGGCCCCUUUUGGGGUACUCGAGUGGCGCACGGGUGUGUAACACGUGAGUAACCUGCCCUUGACUUCGGGAUAACUUCAGGAAACUGGGGCUAAUACCGGAUAGGAAUCCUUGCUGCAUGGUGGGGGUUGGAAAGCUUCGGCGGUUUUGGAUGGACUCGCGGCUUAUCAGCUUGUUGGUGGGGUAGUGGCUUACCAAGGCUUUGACGGGUAGCCGGCCUGAGAGGGCGACCGGCCACAUUGAGACUGAGAUACGGCCCAGACUCCUACGAGAGGCAGCAGUGGGGAAGAUUGAACAAUGGGCGGAAGCCUGAUGCAGCAACGCCGCGUGCGGGAUGACGGCCUUCGGGUUGUAAACCGCUUUCAGCAGGGGCGAAGCUUGUGGUGACGGUACCUGCAGAAGAAGCACCGGCUAACUACGUG
rnacentral:rRNA from 1 species